AACGAACGCUGGCGGCAUGCCUAACACAUGCAAGUCGAACGAGACCUUCGGGUCUAGUGGCGCACGGGUGCGUAACGCGUGGGAACCUUCCCUUAGGUUCGGAAUAACUCCCCGAAAGGGGUGCUAAUACCGGAUAAUGUCUUCGGACCAAAGAUUUAUCGCCUUUGGAUGGGCCCGCGUUGGAUUAGCUAGUUGGUAGGGUAAAAGCCUACCAAGGCGACGAUCCAUAGCUGGUCUGAGAGGAUGAGCAGCCACACUGGGACUGAGACACGGCCCAGACUCCUACGGGAGGCAGCAGUGGGGAAUAUUGGACAAUGGGCGAAAGCCUGAUCCAGCAAUGCCGCGUGAGUGAUGAAGGCCUUAGGGUUGUAAAGCUCUUUUACCCGGGAUGAUAAUGACAGUACCGGGAGAAUAAGCUCCGGCUAACUCCGUG
rnacentral:rRNA from 1 species